AGUGGCGAACGGGUGAGUAAUGCAUCGGAACGUAUCCCGUAGUGGGGGACAACGCCGCGAAAGCGGCGCUAAUACCGCAUAUGCUCUACGGAGGAAAGUGGGGGACCGCAAGGCCUCACGCUAUGGGAGCGGCCGAUGUCCGAUUAGCUAGUUGGUGGGGUAAUGGCCCACCAAGGCGACGAUCGGUAGCUGGUCUGAGAGGAUGAUCAGCCACACUGGGACUGAGACACGGCCCAGACUCCUACGGGAGGCAGCAGUGGGGAAUUUUGGACAAUGGGGGCAACCCUGAUCCAGCCAUGCCGCGUGCGGGAAGAAGGCCUUCGGGUUGUAAACCGCUUUUAGUCGGGAAGAAAAGGCACGUCCUAAUACGACGUGUUCUUGACGGUACCGGCGGAAUAAGCACCGGCUAACUACGUGCCAGCAGCCGCGGUAAUACGUAGGGUGCGAGCGUUAAUCGGAAUUACUGGGCGUAAAGCGUGCGCAGGCGGUUCGUUAAGUCUGAUGUGAAAGCCCCGGGCUCAACCUGGGAAUGGCAUUGGAAACUGGCGAGCUGGAGUGCGGCUGAGGGGGGUGGAAUUCCGCGUGUAGCAGUGAAAUGCGUAGAGAUGCGGAGGAACACCGAUGGCGAAGGCAGCCCCCUGGGCCGACACUGACGCUCAGGCACGAAAGCGUGGGGAGCAAGCAGGAUUAGAUACCCUGG
rnacentral:rRNA from 1 species